rnacentral:rRNA from 1 species
GUCUACGGCCAUACCACCCUGAACGUGCCCGAUCUCAUCUGAUCUCGGAAGCUAAGCAGGGUCGGGCCUGGUUAGUACUUGGAUGGGAGAAUAAAUCUCAUUUUGAUACAUC